CGGAGGGAUCAUUACUGAGUUUACGCUCUAUAACCCUUUGUGAACAUACCUAUAACUGUUGCUUCGGCGGGCAGGGUCUCCGUGACCCUCCCGGCCUCCCGCCCCCGGGCGGGUCGGCGCCCGCCGGAGGAUAACCAAACUCUGAUUUAACGACGUUUCUUCUGAGUGGUACAAGCAAAUAAUCAAAACUUUUAACAACGGAUCUCUUGGUUCUGGCAUCGAUGAAGAACGCAGCGAAAUGCGAUAAGUAAUGUGAAUUGCAGAAUUCAGUGAAUCAUCGAAUCUUUGAACGCACAUUGCGCCCGCCAGCAUUCUGGCGGGCAUGCCUGUUCGAGCGUCAUUUCAACCCUCAAGCUCUGCUUGGUGUUGGGGCCCUACAGCUGAUGUAGGCCCUCAAAGGUAGUGGCGGACCCUCCCGGAGCCUCCUUUGCGUAGUAACUUUACGUCUCGCACUGGGAUCCGGAGGGACUCUUGCCGUAAAACCCCCCAAUUUUCCAAAGGUUGACCUCGGAUCAGGUAGGAAUACCCGCUGAACUUAAGCAUAUCAAUAAGCGGAGGAAAAGAAACCAACAGGGAUUGCCUCAGUAACGGCGAGUGAAGCGGCAACAGCUCAAAUUUGAAAUCUGGCCCUAGGCCCGAGUUGUAAUUUGCAGAGGAUGCUUUUGGUG
rnacentral:rRNA from 1 species